rnacentral:sRNA from 1 species
GCUGGGCGUGGUGACGGGCACCUGUAGUCCCAGCCACUCAGGGGGCUGAGGCAGGAGAAUGGCGUGAACCUGAGAGGUGGAGCUUGCAGUGAGCAGAGAUCGCACCAAGGCACCCUAGCCUGGGUGACAGAGCGAGACUCUGUCUCAAAAAAAAAAAGUCUCGCUCUGUCACCCAGGCUGGAGUGCUGUGGCGUGAUCUCUGCUCACUGCAACCUCCACCUCCCAGGUUCAAGUGAUCCUCCUGCCUCAG